GCAGAGUGCUCCCCUGCGUUUUCAGUGUCCUUAACUUAGCAAUCCUCAAUCUUUUGAGGAGAAAUCUUUUGGUUUCCUUCAACUGGAUAAUACAAAUGUUCUGAGG